CACUCAUGCCUAGGGGAGGCAGGAUGCACUGUGGCUUCAGUAUCCUAGACAACUCAUAGGUUGAGGUAAAGAAUCGCUGAAUGAUCCUGAGCCAGGCCCCUUACACCUCUCAUGUGCCUCUCCAUUGCCUUUUGGGUGACCUACGACUUGAAUUUCUGGAGAGGAUGGUAUCCCGUGACUUUCAGUAAUGUAACACAACCAGAAGAAUACUGAUGCUGAACAGAGAGGCCUUUGUUUCAAUGGGAAAGUUACAUCUGAGAGGUGGCAUGCAGAAGUAGGCCUGGCAGUUAAGAAAACAGAGAAAGAACCGCAGUCUGAUUGGUAAUGAUAAAACAAAAAUAGUUAACAGAAAAUCAAAAACUGCAAAACAGGAAAACGAUAAAUGCUGGAGAAG